rnacentral:rRNA from 1 species
UAGGGAAUCUUCCGCAAUGGACGAAAGUCUGACGGAGCAACGCCGCGUGAGUGAUGAAGGGUUUCGGCUCGUAAAACUCUGUUGUUACGGAAGAACACUUGAGGUAGUAACUGGCCUUGAGAUGACGGUACUUAACCAGAAAGCCACGGCUAACUACGUGCCAGCAGCCGCGGUAAUACGUAGGUGGCAAGCGUUAUCCGGAAUUAUUGGGCGUAAAGCGCGCGUAGGCGGUAAAAUAAGUCUGAUGUGAAAGCCCCCGGCUCAACCGGGGAGGGUCAUUGGAAACUGUUUUACUUGAGUGCAGAAGAGGAGAGUGGAAUUCCAUGUGUAGCGGUGAAAUGCGCAGAGAUAUGGAAGAACACCAGUGGCGAAGGCGGCUCUCUGGUCUGUAACUGACGCUGAGGUGCGAAAGCGUGGGGAUCAAACAGG